rnacentral:rRNA from 1 species
UACGAAGGGGGCUAGCGUUGCUCGGAAUCACUGGGCGUAAAGCGCACGUAGGCGGAUUGUUAAGUCAGGGGUGAAAGCCUGGGGCUCAACCCCAGAAUUGCCUUUAAGACUGCAUCGCUUGAAUCCAGGAGAGGUGAGUGGAAUUCCGAGUGUAGAGGUGAAAUUCGUAGAUAUUCGGAAGAACACCAGUGGCGAAGGCGGCUCACUGGACUGGUAUUGACGCUGAGGUGCGAAAGCGUGGGGAGCAAACAGG